rnacentral:rRNA from 1 species
CCUACGGGAGGCUGCAGUGGGGAAUCUUGCGCAAUGGCCUGACGGCUGACGCAGCGACGCCGCGUGUGGGAGGACGCCCUUCGGGGUGUAAACCACUGUUGCCCGGGACGAACCCGCGGUUUCGACCGCGCUGACGGUACCGGGUGAGGAAGCACCGGCUAACUCCGUGCCAGCAGCCGCGGUAAUACGGAGGGUGCGAGCGUUGUCCGGAAUCACUGGGCGUAAAGGGCGCGUAGGUGGCGGGCCAAGCGUGCGGUGAAAGCCCGGGGCUCAACUCCGGGUCGGCCGUGCGAACUGGCCUGCUCGAGCACGGUAGAGGCAGGUGGAAUUCCGGGUGUAGCGGUGGAAUGCGUAGAGAUCCGGAAGAACACCGGUGGCGAAGGCGGCCUGCUGGGCCGUGGCUGACACUGAGGCGCGACAGCGUGGGGAGCAAACAGGAU